UGGGGAAUAUUGCACAAUGGGCGCAAGCCUGAUGCAGCCAUGCCGCGUGUGUGAAGAAGGCCUUCGGGUUGUAAAGUACUUUCAGCGGGGAGGAAGGCGAUAAGGUUAAUAACCUUGUCGAUUGACGUUACCCGCAGAAGAAGCACCGGCUAACUCCGUGCCAGCAGCCGCGGUAAUACGGAGGGUGCAAGCGUUAAUCGGAAUUACUGGGCGUAAAGCGCACGCAGGCGGUCUGUCAAGUCGGAUGUGAAAUCCCCGGGCUCAACCUGGGAACUGCAUUCGA
rnacentral:rRNA from 1 species